AAGACCCAAGUGACAGACUUCCC
rnacentral:snRNA from 1 species